CUAACGGGACUGCCGCGAAGCGGAGGAAGGAGGGACGACGUCUGGUCAGCAUGGCCCUUACGGCCUGGGCGACACACGUGCUACAAUGCCCACUACAAAGCGAUGCCACCCGGCAACGGGGAGCUAAUCGCAAAAAGGUGGGCCCAGUUCGGAUUGGGGUCUGCAACCCGACCCCAUGAAGCCGGAAUCGCUAGUAAUCGUGGAUCAGCAUGUCACGGUGAAUACGUUCCCGGGUCUU
rnacentral:rRNA from 1 species